GAACACAGGAAAGGAAAGGGCAAAAGUCAGCCUUCUUUUUACAUGGGCAGAUCUUGCAGGCAAAGGACACCAAAUGAAUUAGAUAGAGAGGUUAAGAACUUAAGGGUGGCAUUUACUGACCUGUUUUUGAAGCAUAACACUUUCAAAGAAACUGCAAAGCCAUCGAGAUAUUGAUGCAAAGAAUGGAAGAAUGUAUUUCACUAAUUUUUGUAUACAUUUCUUGUUUUGUAUUUAGUGAUAAAGGAAUCUGAAUUGGGCAUAAAUUAUGUUGUAAUAUGAUUUCUUAAGCCUAGACUAGUAGAUUAAAUAUUGUAAUUACAUUUGAGUAAUUAAUAAAAAUCUAUUUAUGUUA